UACAGAGGGUGCAAGCGUUAAUCGGAAUUACUGGGCGUAAAGCGCGCGUAGGUGGUUUGUUAAGUUGGAUGUGAAAUCCCCGGGCUCAACCUGGGAACUGCAUUCAAAACUGACUGACUAGAGUAUGGUAGAGGGUGGUGGAAUUUCCUGUGUAGCGGUGAAAUGCGUAGAUAUAGGAAGGAACACCAGUGGCGAAGGCGACCACCUGGACUGUAACUGACGCUGAGGCAUGAAAGCGUGGGGAGCAAACAGG
rnacentral:rRNA from 1 species